GGUAAUACAGAGGGUGCAAGCGUUAAUCGGAAUUACUGGGCGUAAAGACGCGCGUAGGUGGUUUGUUAAGUUGGAUGUGAAAUACCCCGGGCCGUCAACCUGGGAACGUGCAUUCAAAACUAGACUGACUAGAGUAUGGUAGAGGGUGGUGGAAUUUCCUGUGUAGCGGUGAAAUGCGUAGAUAUAGGAAGGAACACCAGUGGCGAAGGCGACCACCUGGACUAAUACUGACACUGAGGUGCGAAAGCGUGGGGAGCAAACAGG
rnacentral:rRNA from 1 species